rnacentral:rRNA from 1 species
UACGUAGGGUGCGAGCGUUAUCCGGAAUUACUGGGCGUAAAGCGUGCGCAGGCGGUUGUGCAAGACAGAGGUGAAAUCCCCGGGCUUAACCUGGGAAUGGCCUUUGUGACUGCACGGCUAGAGUGUGUCAGAGGGGGGUAGAAUUCCACGUGUAGCAGUGAAAUGCGUAGAGAUGUGGAGGAAUACCGAUGGCGAAGGCAGCCCCCUGGGCUAAGAUUGACGCUCAUGCACGAAAGCGUGGGGAGCAAACAGG